UACGGGGGGGGUAAGCGUUGUUCGGAAUUACUGGGCGUAAAGGGCUCGUAGGCGGCCAACUAAGUCAGACGUGAAAUCCCUCAGCUUAACUGGGGAACUGCGUCUGAUACUGGAUGGCUUGGAUUCGGGAGAGGAAUGCGGAAUUCCUGGUGUAGCGGUGAAAUGCGCAGAUAUCAGGAGGAACACCAGCGGCGAAGGCGGCGCUCUGGGCCGGUACUGACACUGAGGAGCGAAAGCGUGGGUAGCAAACAGG
rnacentral:rRNA from 1 species